AGAGUUUGAUCCUGGCUCAGAAUCAACGCUGGCGGCGUGCCUCAGACAUGCAAGUCGUACGAUUAAAGCUCUCUUCGGAGAGUGUAUAGAGUGGCGCACGGGUGAGUAACACGUAAGUAAUCUACCUUCGAGUGGGGAAUAACAGUCGGAAACGACUGCUAAUACCGCAUAAUGCAGCGGCACCUAAUGGUGACAGUUGUUAAAGAUUUAUCGCUUGAAGAGGAGCUUGCGGCAGAUUAGCUAGUUGGUAAGGUAAUGGCUUACCAAGGCGACGAUCUGUAGCCGACCUGAGAGGGUGGUCGGUCACACUGACACUGAAUAACGGGUCAGACUCCUACGGGAGGCAGCAGUCGGGAAUUUUGGGCAAUGGGCGAAAGCCUGACCCAGCAACGCCGCGUGAAGGAUGAAGUAUUUCGGUAUGUAAACUUCGUAAGAAUGGGAAGAAUAAAUGACGGUACCAUUUGUAAGGUCCGGCUAACUACGUGCCAGCAGCCGCGGUAAUACGUAGGGACCAAGCGUUGUUCGGAUUUACUGGGCGUAAAGGGUGCGUAGGCGGCGUGUCAAGUCAGUUGUGAAAUCUUAAGGCUUAACCUUAAGCGGUCAACUGAUACUGUCAUGCUAGAGUGCAGAAGGGGCAAUCGGAAUUCUUGGUGUAGCGGUGAAAUGCGUAGAUAUCAAGAGGAACACCUGAGGUGAAGACGGGUUGCUGGGCUGACACUGACGCUGAGGCACGAAAGCUAGGGUAGCAAACGGGAUUAGAUACCCCCGUAGUCC
rnacentral:rRNA from 1 species